rnacentral:rRNA from 1 species
AUGCGGCUGGUGCUCCUGGGCGACGACAACUGCGUGUUCCUCAAGACCGUGGGCGCGCUCGGCGCCGGCGUCACCGCCGUAUCUGUGGUGUGCGCCAGGGCGAGAGCGGCGAGGCGGCCGCGGUUCACGUGCAAGAUGUGGGUCAACCUGGAGACACCCCCGGCAGCAGUGGCAAACUGUGGCAAGGAGGACGUGGUGCUCGUGGACAUGCAAAUGAGGAGCAGCUCAUCGCCCGGCGCCGUGGUCGCUGCGGGCGAGCCCACAUUCCUGACAGUGCCGCCAAUGUACCUGGUGCCAGCAGCAGGAGACGGGGCAUCCAUGGAAGUUCCCCUGCACAUCCGCAUCGAUAAGCUCUCCCCUUGGUCCGACGCAUUGGUGUGA